CAAUACAUGCAAGUCGAGCGAACUGACGAGGAGCUUGCUCCUUUGACGUUAGCGGCGGACGGGUGAGUAACACGUGGGUAACCUACCUAUAAGACUGGAAUAACUCCGGGAAACCGGGGCUAAUGCCGGAUAACAUAUCGAACCGCAUGGUUCGAUAGUGAAAGACGGUCUUGCUGUCACUUAUAGAUGGACCCGCGCCGUAUUAGCUAGUUGGUGAGGUAACGGCUCACCAAGGCGACGAUACGUAGCCGACCUGAGAGGGUGAUCGGCCACACUGGAACUGAGACACGGUCCAGACUCCUACGGGAGGCAGCAGUAGGGAAUCUUCCGCAAUGGGCGAAAGCCUGACGGAGCAACGCCGCGUGAGUGAUGAAGGUCUUCGGAUCGUAAAGCUCUGUUGUUAGGGAAGAACAAAUGUGUAAGUAACUGUGCACAUCUUGACGGUACCUAACCAGAAAGCCACGGCUAACUACGUGCCAGCAGCCGCGGUAAUACGUAGGUGGCAAGCGUUAUCCGGAAUUAUUGGGCGUAAAGCGCGCGUAGGCGGUUUUUUAAGUCUGAUGUGAAAGCCCACGGCUCAACCGUGGAGGGUCAUUGGAAACUGGAAAACUUGAGUGCAGAAGAGGAAAGUGGAAUUCCAUGUGUAGCGGUGAAAUGCGCAGAGAUAUGGAGGAACACCAGUGGCGAAGGCGGCUUUCUGGUCUGUAACUGACGCUGAUGUGCGAAAGCGUGGGGAUCAAACAGGAUUAGAUACCCUGGUAGUCCACGCCGUAAACGAUGAGUGCUAAGUGUUAGGGGGUUUCCGCCCCUUAGUGCUGCAGCUAACGCAUUAAGCACUCCGCCUGGGGAGUACGGUCGCAAGACUGAAACUCAAAGGAAUUGACGGGGACCCGCACAAGCGGUGGAGCAUGUGGUUUAAUUCGAAGCAACGCGAAGAACCUUACCAAAUCUUGACAUCUUUUGACCGCUCUAGAGAUAGAGUUUUCCUCUUCGGAGGACAAAUGACAGGUGGUGCAUGGUUGUCGUCAGCUCGUGUCGUGAGAUGUUGGGUUAAGUCCCGCAACGAGCGCAACCCUUGAGCUUAGUUGCCAUCAUUAAGUUGGGCACUCUAAGUUGACUGCCGGUGACAAACCGGAGGAAGGUGGGGAUGACGUCAAAUCAUCAUGCCCCUUAUGAUUUGGGCUACACACGUGCUACAAUGGACAAUACAAAGGGCAGCAAAACCGCGAGGUCAAGCAAAUCCCAUAAAGUUGUUCUCAGUUCGGAUUGUAGUCUGCAACUCGACUACAUGAAGCUGGAAUCGCUAGUAAUCGUAGAUCAGCAUGCUACGGUGAAUACGUUCCCGGGUCUUGUACACACCGCCCGUCACACCACGAGAGUUUGUAACACCCGAAGCCGGUGGAGUAACCAUUGGAGCUAGCCGUUCGAAGGUGGACAAAGG
rnacentral:rRNA from 1 species